GGAGAGUUGUCAGAGUGGUCGAUCGUGCAGCACUCGAAAUGCUGUGUCCGUAACCGGACCCAGGGUUCGAAUCCCUGACUCUCCGCCA
rnacentral:tRNA from 1 species